UACGUAGGGUGCGAGCGUUGUCCGGAAUUAUUGGGCGUAAAGAGCUCGUAGGCGGUUUGUCGCGUCGGCCGUGAAAACUUGGGGCUUAACCCCAAGCCUGCGGUCGAUACGGGCAUCACUUGAGUUCGGCAGGGGAGACUGGAAUUCCUGGUGUAGCGGUGAAAUGCGCAGAUAUCAGGAGGAACACCGGUGGCGAAGGCGGGUCUCUGGGCCGAUACUGACGCUGAGGAGCGAAAGCGUGGGGAGCGAACAGG
rnacentral:rRNA from 1 species